rnacentral:rRNA from 1 species
UAUAUACAUAUUUACCAGAGUACUAUGAAUAACAUAAAAUUUAAAACUCAAAGGGCUUGGCGGUGUUUUAGACCACUCAGGGGAACCUGUCCCAUAAUCGAUAAUCCACGAUAAACCUGACCUUUCUUUGUACUCAGCUUGUAUACCGUUGUCGUCAGGUAACUUUUUAGAAAACUAGGAGUUAGCUAUUAGUUAUAUAAACUGAAACGUCAAAUCAAGGUGCAGUCUAUAGAAUGGGGAGGAUGGGUUACAAUUAUAAAUUAUAAUUACGAAGAGUCAUUAGAAUUAAAGGCAAGAAGGAGGACUUGAAAGUAAAGUAAAUUAUAUAGAUACUUUGAAUAAGGCUCUGAAACGUGC